rnacentral:rRNA from 1 species
CCAGACAGCCAGGAGGUUGGCUUAGAAGCAGCCAUCCUUUAAAGAAAGCGUAAUAGCUCACUGGUCGAGUCGGUCUGCGCGGAAGAUGUAACGGGGCUAAACUAUGCACCGAAGCUGCGGAUUCAAAAUUUAUUUUGAGUGGUAGGGGAGCGUUCUGUAAGCCGUUGAAGGUGAACCGGGAGGUUUGCUGGAGGUAUCAGAAGUGCGAAUGCUGACAUGAGUAACGAUAAUGCGGGUGAAAAACCCGCACGCCGGAAGAC